UUUAACUGAAGAGUUUGAUCAUGGCUCAGAUUGAACGCUGGCGGCAGGCUUAACACAUGCAAGUCGAGCGGGGGAAGGUAGCUUGCUACUGGACCUAGCGGCGGACGGGUGAGUAAUGCUUAGGUA
rnacentral:rRNA from 1 species